UACGAAGGGGGCUAGCGUUGUUCGGAAUUACUGGGCGUAAAGCGCGCGCAGGCGGUCCUUCAAGUCAGGGGUGAAAGCCCAGGGCUCAACCCUGGAAUGGCCUUUGAGACUAGAGGACUUGGGUACGGGAGAGGUGAGUGGAAUUCCGAGUGUAGAGGUGAAAUUCGUAGAUAUUCGGAAGAACACCAGUGGCGAAGGCGGCUCACUGGCCCGUUACCGACGCUCAGGCGCGACAGCGUGGGGAGCAACAGG
rnacentral:rRNA from 1 species